CUUUUUAAUGGAAACAUAGCACACACUUACUUCAUUUCAGAUUAUUAAAUUGUGUUAAGCCUUAAAGUUAGUUGCCAUUCUUUGCUGUAGCUCAUUUGUUCUUUUCAAUCCAGAGAAAUACUAGAACGUUAAAACUUAUCACAUAGGAGGGUUUAAUCAUCCUACCAAAAUUAGACAGCAUGUAGCUCUGAAAGACUGAAUGUCAAAUUGUGUGCUCGUAGCCCUUAAACUACUGAGAAUCUAGGACCCCACUACUACAUUUAAAAUGACUGUUCAUGUUUGUGGAAAACCGUGGACGUUUAGGAACUGGUAAAGCUAGAGGUCUCUUACUCUUUGAUUAAGGGCACCACUUUCAGAUAAAAACAUAGACCUGAAUGGCAUCAUCCAGUAUCCAAGGAAACCAUGGAACCACUGGAGAUUUUGAGAUGGUCUAUUUAUUGAGAGCAACUUGGAUCCUAAAUUUGUCACCAGCUCUGGAUUUCUCUCCCAAGCCAGGAUUGUGUGAAGUCAUUACAAUUUAAAGCAUACUGUCGGUCGGUCAUUCCCUGGACUCCAACUUCUGUUUCACCCCCAACAUACAGAGUAGAGAAGAAAUGAACGACUACAGGGAGAUUGCUUUCUCCUACUUAUCAAGACAGAGUGGUGUAGAUUCACUUCUUUUGGGGGCAUGUGUUCCAAGAAGAAGCAGAUUUCCAUUACAGACUUGAAACUGAGGUGUGUGAGGAGCACACAGAUAUCUUCCUUUGAACUUUGAAGGAGAUCAUUUGCUGUUAACAUAAAAAUAAGACUAUUCACAAAUCAUUAGCUCUGAAGAAAGAUGACAUCAACAUUGUGAGGUACUCCGCCUGUUGGACAAAUACAAAAAGAAUCAAUUGUGGCAUACCUCUUGACUAAAGAGCAUCAGUGAAUAACUGCCUGCAGGGC
rnacentral:lncRNA from 1 species